rnacentral:rRNA from 1 species
GCGGCAUGCUUUACACAUGCAAGUCGAACGGCAGCGAGGAGAAGCUUGCUUCUCUGUCGGCGAGUGGCGAACGGGUGAAUAUAGCAUCGGAACGUGCCAAGUAGUGGGGGAUAACCAAACGAAAGUUUGGCUAAUACCGCGUAAGCUCCAAGGAGGAAAGUAGGGGACCUAAAUAAGGCCUUACGCUAUUUGAUCGGCCGAUGUCGGAUUAGCUAGUUGGUGGGGUAAUGGCUCACCAAGGCAAUGAUCCGUAGCGGGUCUGAGAGGACGAUCCGCCACACUGGGACUGAGACACGGCCCAGACUCCUACGGGAGGCAGCAGUGGGGAAUUUUGGACAAUGGGGGAAACCCUGAUCCAGCCAUGCCGCGUGUAUGAAGAAGGCCUUAGGGUUGUAAAGUACUUUUGUUAGGGAAGAAAAGCUAGUUUUUAAUAAAAAUUAGUGAUGACGGUACCUAAAGAAUAAGCACCGGCUAACUACGUGCCAGCAGCCGCGGUAAUACGUAGGGUGCAAGCGUUAAUCGGAAUUAUUGGGCGUAAAGCGAGUGCAGACGGUUACUUAAGCCAGAUGUGAAAUCCCCAAGCUUAACUUGGGACGUGCAUUUGGAACUGGGUGACUAGAGUGUGUCAGAGGGAGGUAGAAUUCCACAUGUAGCGGUGGAAUGCGUAGAGAUGUGGAGGAAUACCGAUGGCGAAGGCAGCCUCCUGGGAUAACACUGACGUUGAGGCUCGAA